UUUCUAAACCCAGACAAUGAAGUUCAUCUCUAUGCUCUACACCUGUGCUUUGUCCCUCACAUCCAGAAGCACCUUGAUGUUUUCAAGUAUGGCUGGAACUGCCAUCGACUGAGCACUGAGGGAAAUCUGUCACCACUUCAACUGUGGACUCACCAUGAGCGUGAUGCACAGCAAGAACCUGUCCAGGUUGACGUAGAGUAUGGUGUCGUGGUCCCUGAGGUUCAGCUGCAGCGCCCGCUGACCGAACAGGAAGUGGAAAGCCUCCCAAAACCUGAUGGUCCUCUGUCUGAUGUCUUGGAUUCUUACAUAGAGACAGUAAAUCUUUUAUCUGAGAUGCUCCAGUGAAAUACGGUUUCAAGUACAGAAAGAUUUAAUCAUACAUUAUACUAUAUUUGAAGUUGCUCGUUUACUUGUUGACCUAGCAAUGAAAAGUCUUUGAGAAUGAAAAAGGCAGAACUUUUUUUUUUUUACUUCAAUAACUUUUGGUUAUGUCAUAGAGCCUUGUACAAAAUCUUUCCUUUUGUUUUAAGAGUUGUUUUGACACAUUAUGUUUAUAUUAAUAGAGGCAGACAUUUUGUGAAUCCUAAAACAAUUUGUUAUGGUGCCCUUGGUAAGUCAAAAGAAUAAAAAUUCUUUACACACCAUAA